CACGCUGUAAACGAUGAUUACUAGGUGUUGGGGGUCGAACCUCAGCGCCCAAGCAAACGCGAUAAGUAAUCCGCCUGGGGAGUACGUACGCAAGUAUGAAACUCAAAGGAAUUGACGGGG
rnacentral:rRNA from 1 species